UACGUAGGGGGCGAGCGUUGUCCGGAUUUAUUGGGCGUAAAGAGCGUGUAGGCGGCCAGGUAGGUCUGCUGUGAAAACUCGAGGCUCAACCUCGAGACGUCGGCGGAAACCAUCUGGCUAGAGUCCGGAAGAGGAGAGUGGAAUUCCUGGUGUAGCGGUGAAAUGCGCAGAUAUCAGGAAGAACACCCGUGGCGAAGGCGGCUCUCUGGGACGGUACUGACGCUGAGACGCGAAAGCUAGGGGAGCAAACGGG
rnacentral:rRNA from 1 species